UACGUAGGGGGCAAGCGUUGUCCGGAAUCAUUGGGCGUAAAGAGCGUGUAGGCGGCUCGGUAAGUCCGCUGUGAAAGUCCAGGGCUCAACCCUGGAAUGCCGGUGGAAACUGUCGAGCUAGAGUCCGGAAGAGGCGAGUGGAAUUCCUGGUGUAGCGGUGAAAUGCGCAGAUAUCAGGAGGAACACCGAUGGCGAAGGCAGCUCGCUGGGACGGUACUGACGCUGAGACGCGAAAGCGUGGGGAGCGAACAGG
rnacentral:rRNA from 1 species